rnacentral:rRNA from 1 species
AACGCGAAGAACCUUACCUACCCUUGACAUGUACGGAACCCUGCAGAGAUGUGGGGGUGCCUGAAAGGGAGCCGUAACACAGGUGCUGCAUGGCUGUCGUCAGCUCGUGUCGUGAGAUGUUGGGUUAAGUCCCGCAACGAGCGCAACCCUUGUCCCUAGUUGCUACGCAAGGGCACUCUAGGGAGACUGCCGGUGACAAACCGGAGGAAGGUGGGGAUGACGUCAAGUCCUCAUGGCCCUUAUGGGUAGGGCUUCACACGUCAUACAAUGGCCGGUACAGAGGGUUGCCAAAGCGCGAGCUGGAGCCAAUCCCCAUAAAAGCCGGUCGUAGUCCGGAUUGCAGUCUGCAACUCGACUGCAUGAAGUCGGAAUCGCUAGUAAUCGCGGAUCAGCAUGUCGCGGUGAAUACGUUCCCGGGUCUUGUACACACC